rnacentral:ncRNA from 1 species
UCCUGACAGCUACAUGGUGUAGCUGACACUAGCCACGACAGGAGAUUACAUAUG